rnacentral:lncRNA from 1 species
GCCUGCACAUCAAAUGCCCACACACGUCGGUGUAUACCAGGGCAAGUAACUCAAUGGCCCUUUUUUCAUGUCCUAUAAAGAGUAUUGGGUUUCAGCCAUACAGUGGAAAGUAAUUUUUAAAAAUUUUUAAAAUACUCAAAUCAAUAGCUUUAUCAAAUAAAACUAUCGAGCUGAACUCCAAACCCUAGAAUCAUCUUACCGAAUA